GAUGACCUCGGAUCAGGU
rnacentral:rRNA from 1 species